rnacentral:rRNA from 1 species
UACAGAGGGGGCAAGCGUUGUUCGGAAUUACUGGGCGUAAAGGGCGCGUAGGCGGCCCUCUAAGUCAGACGUGAAAUCCCUCGGCUUAACCGGGGAACUGCGUCUGAUACUGGAUGGCUCGAGUGUGGGAGAGGGAUGCGGAAUUCCAGGUGUAGCGGUGAAAUGCGUAGAUAUCUGGAGGAACACCGGUGGCGAAGGCGGCAUCCUGGACCAUAACUGACACUGAUAAGCGAAAGCCAGGGGAGCAAACGGG